UACGGGGGGAGCAAGCGUUGUUCGGAUUUACUGGGCGUAAAGGGCGCGUAGGCGGCGCAACAAGUCACUUGUGAAAUCUCCGGGCUUAACCCGGAGCGGCCAAGUGAUACUGUCGUGCUAGAGUGCGGAAGGGGCUACUGGAAUUCUCGGUGUAGCGGUGAAAUGCGUAGAUAUCGAGAGGAACACCUGCGGCGAAGGCGGGUAGCUGGGCCGACACGUGACGCUGAGGCGCGAAAGCCAGGGGAGCGAACAGG
rnacentral:rRNA from 1 species